rnacentral:rRNA from 1 species
GUAGUCUCGCACAGAUGCAUAUCAAUAAGCGGAGGAAAAGAAACUAACAAGGAUUCCCUCAGUAACGGCGAGUGAAGCGGGAAGAGCUCAAAUUUGAAAUCUUGAAAAGUCACCUUUCACGAAUUGUAGUUUAAAGAAGUGUCUUCUGUUACGAUCGUAAUAUAAGUUCUUUGGAAUAGGACAUCACAGAGGGUGAGAAUCCCGUCUAUGAUUGCGAUUUGUAGCUUUGUGAUACACUUUCAAAGAGUCGGGUUGUUUGGGAAUGCAGCCCAAAACGGGAGGUAAAUUUCUUCUAAGGCUAAAUAUUGGCGAGAGACCGAUAGCGAACAAGUACCGUGAGGGAAAGAUGAAAAGAACUUUGAAAAGAGAGUUAAACAGUACGUGAAAUUGUCAAAAGGGAAGCGUUUGACACCAGUGUUGUUUUCUCGAAAAUCAAUUAAAAAGAGUUAGAUUUUGUUGUGUAUUGACCUUAACAGCUUGCAUUUCAAUUUUCUUGCUUUUUUUAAUGCACUUUUCGUUUAACAAGUCAACAUCAGUUUCUUUUGUUGUAAAAAGGUCAUUGGAAGGUGGCUUUCUUUUCGGAGAAAGUGUUUAUAGCCUUUGACUCCUGCAAUCGGAGAGACUGAGGUCUGCAGCGUAGAUCCUUCGGGGUUAGAUACAUUUGUGCUAAGUUAUAGCUUUUUAUAGACAACUUGUUGACUAUGAUUAGUCUUGUAGCUUACUCGCUUAUGCUAUUUUACCUACGCUUAGGAUGUUGAAGAUGUAGCACAUCAU